rnacentral:rRNA from 1 species
AGGAUUAACGCUAGCGGUAUGCCUAAUACAUGCAAGUCGAGCGGAGGUAGCAAUACCUUAGCGGCGAACGGGUGAGUAAUACGUAUCUAAUCUGCCCUUUAGAAAGGAACAACAGAUCGAAAGAUUUGCUAAUACCUUAUAUGAUAUACAUUCGCAUGAAAGUAUAUUUAAAGUUGCGUUUGCAACGCUUUAGGAUGAGGGUGCGGUUUAUCAGAUAGUUGGUGAGGUAAUGGCUCACCAAGUCAAUGACGAAUAGCUAUGCUGAGAGGUAGAAUAGCCACAAGGGGACUGAGACACGGCCCCUACUCCUACGGGAGGCAGCAGUAGGGAAUUUUUCACAAUGGGCGAAAGCCUGAUGGAGCAAUACCGCGUGAAUGAUGAAGGUCUUCGGAUUGUAAAAUUCUUUUAUUAGGGACGAACGGCACUAAGAGGAAAUGCUUAGUGAUUGACUGUACCUAUUGAAUAAGUAACGGCAAACUAUGUGCCAGCAGCCGCGGUAAUACAUAGGUUACAAGCGUUAUCCGGAUUUACUGGGCGUAAAGCGAGCGCAGGCUGAUUAACAAGUCUAGUGUGAAAUGCAGUUGCUUAACAACUGUUUGCAUUGGAAACUGUUAGUCUGGAGUGUGAUAGGGAGUUCUGGAACUCCAUAUGGAGCGGUGGAAUGCGUAGAUAUAUGGAAGAACACCUGUGGCGAAAGCGAGAACUUAGGUCACAACUGACGCUUAGGCUCGAAAGUGUGGGGAGCAAAUAGGAUUAGAUACCCUAGUAGUCCACACCGUAAACGAUGGUUAUUAGUUGUUGGUACGAAGUACUAGUAACGAAGCUAACGCAUUAAAUAACCCGCCUGGGUAGUACAUUCGCAAGAAUGAAACUCAAACGGAAUUGACGGGGACCCGCACAAGUGGUGGAGCAUGUUGUUUAAUUCGACAGUACACGAGAACCUUACCAGGGUUUGACAUCCUCGGCAAAGCUAUAGAAAUAUAGUGGAAGUUUACCGAGAGACAGGUGGUGCAUGGGUUGUCGUCAGCUCGUGUC